rnacentral:rRNA from 1 species
UACGAAGGGGGCUAGCGUUGUUCGGAAUCACUGGGCGUAAAGCGCACGUAGGCGGACUUUCAAGUCAGGGGUGAAAUCCCGGGGCUCAACCUCGGAAUUGCCUUUGAUACUGUAGGUCUCGAGUCCGGAAGAGGAGAGUGGAAUUCCUGGUGUAGCGGUGAAAUGCGCAGAUAUCAGGAAGAACACCCGUGGCGAAGGCGGCUCUCUGGUACGUGACUGACGCUGAGACGCGAAAGCGUGGGGAGCGAACAGG